rnacentral:misc_RNA from 1 species
GCAAACUUGGUCAUUUAGAGGAAGUAAAAGUCGUAACAAGGUUUCCGUAGGUAAGUUGAAAGCUGGUUUACCUUAGAAAACCCCCUCUAUUGAAUAAUGUGUUGACUUUUUUCCUUUAGGUGAACCUGCGGAAGGAUCAUUAUCGAGUGUGAACCCCCCCUUAGAAAAGGGAGGGUUUCCUCCAGUCCUUUGCUGGGCACCCUAUUCUAGAAAGGGGUUGCUUUUCAAUAUCUUCUGCUUCGGCGGGGUAACCCGCCGGAACACCCUCAAAUUCUUAUUUAAAUGGUUCUGUCCGAGAAACCUUUUAAGAAAGCAAAAACUUUCAACAACGGAUCUCUUGGUUCUGGCAUCGAUGAAGAACGCAGC